AUUGAACGCUGGCGGCGUGCCUAAUACAUGCAAGUCGAACGCAGUGGGGACGGGUGAGUAACACGUGGGUAACCUCCCAUCAGAGGGGAUAACACUUGGAAACAGGUGCUAAACCGAUACUGAUGGAUGGACCCGCGUUGCAUUAGCUAGUUGGUGAGGUAACGGCUCACCAAGGCCACGAUGCAUAGCCGACCGAAGGGGGUGAUCGGCAGCACAGGGACUGAGACACGGCCCAGAUUCUGGCGGGAGGCGGCAGUAGGGCAUCUGCGGCAAUGGACGAAAGGUUGACGGAGCAACGCCGCGUGAGUGAAGAAGGUUUUCGGAUCGUAAAACUCUGUUGUUAGAGAAGCGGGAUCUAACCAGAAAGCCACGGCUAACUACGUGCCAGCAGCGGCGGUAAUU
rnacentral:rRNA from 1 species